ensembl:lncRNA
GGCGGCGCGAGGCGGAAGCGGCGCGGCGCGGCGGUGGCGGCGCAUGCGCAGUGCGCGGUGCCCGGCCAUGCCGAAGGGAGCGCGGCCGGCGGGGGCCAAGCAGGAGGAAUGGAGGGGGGGCGAGGAGGAGCAACCCCUGAAGAAGGGCCGGAAGGACCGAAAGGGCAAAAAAUCCUUUUUCGAGGAGUUGGCCGAGGAGGAGAAGGCGGCGCCGGCCCCGCCCACCCCCGCCCCCGAGAGGGAGGGGCCAGCCCCUGCCCAGGUUAAUUAUGCUAAUUAUGCUAAUUAGGGUGGUGGGUUAUGCUAAUUAUGGAGGUUGGGGGAGGGGCACAAAGGGG